AGAGUUUGAUCAUGGCUCAGGAUGAACGCUAGCGGCAGGCUUAACACAUGCAAGUCGAGGGGUAGGGUAGCAAUACCUGAGACCGGCGCACGGGUGCGUAACGCGUAUGCAAUCUACCUUGUACAGGGGGAUAGCCCAGAGAAAUUUGGAUUAAUACCCCAUAGUAUUUUCAAAUGGCAUCAUUUGAUUAUUAAAGUUCCAACGGUACAAGAUGAGCAUGCGUCCCAUUAGCUAGUUGGUGUGGUAACGGCAUACCAAGGCUACGAUGGGUAGGGGUCCUGAGAGGGAGAUCCCCCACACUGGUACUGAGACACGGACCAGACUCCUACGGGAGGCAGCAGUGAGGAAUAUUGGUCAAUGGGCGCAAGCCUGAACCAGCCAUGCCGCGUGCAGGAUGAAGCAUCUAUGGUGUGUAAACUGCUUUUGUACAGGAAGAAACACUCCCUCGUGAGGGAGCUUGACGGUACUUAAGAAUAAGACCCGAU
rnacentral:rRNA from 1 species